rnacentral:rRNA from 1 species
CCUACGGGUCGCACCAGUGGGGAAUAUUGCACAAUGGGCGCAAGCCUGAUGCAGCCAUGCCGCGUGUAUGAAGAAGGCCUUAGGGUUGUAAAGUACUUUCAGUUGGGAGGAAGGCGUUGAUGCUAAUAUCAUCAGCGAUUGACGUUACAAACGGAAGAAGCACCGGCUAACUCCGUGCCAGCAGCCGCGGUAAUACGGAGGGUGCAAGCGUUAAUCGGAAUUACUGGGCGUAAAGCGCACGCAGGCGGUUGAUUAAGUUAGAUGUGAAAUCCCCGGGCUUAACCUGGGAAUGGCAUCUAAGACUGGUCAGCUAGAGUCUUGUAGAGGGGGGUAGAAUUCCAUGUGUAGUGGUGAAAUGCGUAGAGAUGUGGAGGAAUACCGGUGGCGAAGGCAGCCCCCUGGACAAAGCCUGACGCUCAGGUGCGAAAGCGUGGGGAGCAAACAGGAUUAGAUACCCUCGUAGUC